UACGAAGGGAGCUAGCGUUGUUCGGAAUCACUGGGCGUAAAGCGCACGUAGGCGGAUGUGUCAGUCAGGGGUGAAAUCCCGGAGCUCAACUUCGGAACUGCCUUUGAUACAGCACGUCUUGAGUCCGAUAGAGGUGGGUGGAAUUCCUAGUGUAGAGGUGAAAUGCGCAGAUAUCAGGAGGAACACCAAUGGCGAAGGCGGCGCUCUGGGCCGGAACUGACGCUGAGGAGCGAAAGCGUGGGAGCGAACAGG
rnacentral:rRNA from 1 species